CCCUUCAAGUUCAGGGUGGGUGACGGUGAGAAAAGGGUGAAGUAAUGGAAGCGUAUGGGCUUCUGAGUCAGAUCUCCUGGGUUCAAAUACCGGCUGUGUGGCUUGGGAGUAAUUUAACCUCUCUGUGCCUCAGUAUCUCCAUCUAUAAAAUGGGAUAAUAACAGUCCCCAUAGUACUCUUCCAGAGGGGACAGUGGCUGCCGCAUGUCUCGACCAGGAACCAAGAGAGACGGGUCGACACAAAGCUUCAUUCUCUGAAGCUCACACUGGAAGAGACUGCAAGCAUCCAAAAGCCAACCUGGAAAAUGGAACAGGUAACACGUACAGCACAGCAGCAGCUCCCUACCCUCCCGCAGAAUCUGGAAGAAGACACGUGGCCAGCAGGAACCCGUAUGCCUGCUAGAGGUGCCCGUCCCAAACCUCAGAACUUCUGCCCAGCCUCCAAGGCGAACUCAUCCCCAGGGAGGACACACAACCCAAGAGUCUACGGCGCCACAUUUUUGCAGCUCUCUCAUUUUACUAAGGAAGGAGAAGAAGAGAGACCUCAAGAGCUGCAGAAGGGCAUGUGAAGAACCAGCGUCUAAAAAUAGCUGCAACCUGAGGGCUGGGAAGGAAGUUUAUGCUUGACUUUAGCAUUCAGUGCAACACACACACACACACACACACGCACACACACCCCUCCCUACACUCGCACAACGUCUAGCUCACUUUGUCGAUGUGAUUUUUCUGCAAUUAUUUUUGAACACUUGAGGAGUAUAGAGACAGAAGGGAUGCGACCUACGGUAUAUGCCAAGGUUUGUCUAAAAAUAUUUUACACCUGUUCUCUGUUCUGCACACUGGUCAUAUUUUAUCAGUGAAGUAAGUACUCAUAACACCAGACGGAAUGUGUUUUUCCUUCCAAGUCUUCAAUGUUUUUCCCUUCUGUAAAGCAAACCUCCUCUUCUUUUCUACCUGCACUAAAAUAAAGCUAGCACCGUUAUCCACAUGACAAACCCAUCAGAGCCUGCAUUUUAACUACUACUAUUCCUGAGCCAAUACUGUUUAAAUGUGAACUACUUUUAUAUUUUUCUCAAGAGUAUAGACAUUUGAAUUUAGCAACAUUUUUGGUUGCUUCUAUGAAGAAUGCAAACUAGUACCCUGGGCUUAAGUCAAGUUUCCAAGUGUGUGGAAAAGGAUCUCAGAUCCUGGUUUCCUUCAGUGCCUCAAAAUUAGAAAUACAACUCCAUGAUAUUUAUUAAGCACAAACAGAAUAGCUUUUAAGCUAUUACUAGAAUUUAAAGCUUGGUUGAUGCAAAUAACUCACUAGGCAACAAAACAUUGACAUAGAAGGACAGUUAUGGUUUUCAUUUACUUUUCUGAUUUCAAAGGGCAGCAAACAUGGCUAAAAUUCUGAAUUUCAUGGCUUCUAAAUACCAAGAGCAUCUAGGACAUAUACUCUAUAUAUUAAUUGACUGAUAUCAUUGAUUGUACCCAUUUUGCAAAUGAAUACACUGAACUGUCUGCAUCAAAUGACUAAUAGGAUUCAGCAAGGAAUCAGACCAGCACUUUCAAAUAGCCUGUAGACACGAAAUAUCCCAUGUAUGAAGAAGGUUUUCUUCUAAGGUUUGUCCAGCUGUGACAUCAUCUCAAAGUUCUCAUCAACAGACUGUCUAUAAAAAAAAGUUUUCUAAAAUCUUAAAACUCAAAUACUCAAAUAUUGAGAAAUUGUUAGAAAUUUAUGACUUAGAAGUCAAAUACCACUAACAAUAAGACUUUUAGCUCAAACAAAACCCCCAAAGCCCAUCUCACGGCUCAGCAGAUCAAACUCUGACUGACACAAAAAUCUAUGUAGCAGGCAACUCAGUACAUCAGGAGUUAGUCCAUAUAGAAGCUAUGGAAAUUCUCCUGAGCCCACUCAAAAGGGAGGUCCUUCUGUGUCCUCGGCAGUUUAAACACGUUCAGAACUAACAGUGAUAAUACAGACUAUGUAAGUUCAUCUACGAUAGCUUACUUACGCUUUUAAAAUGUGACCAGGUUUAUUUUAAACCAAAAUACAUUUUGGUAUUUUCAAGAAGGGCUUUCAGAACAAGUUUGAAAUGGGAGGUCAUUUUGUUUCCUUCGUGUUUUAAAAUUGAAGCAAAGAGAGCAUCCAUCACAACACCUGUUCAUAUAGAAAUUGAGAAUUACAAAGGUUUGCUUAAGAAAGCUUUUCAAAGUAAUUUAAAAACAAAGCAGAUGGUUGGUCUGUAACGUGUGUAUGUAAUGAAAUAUUGCACUGUACCCCCUUGAAAGUGUGCAAGUAUUACUUUAAUCGAAAUUUCAAAAUAAAAGUCAUGGGUACUAGAAACACACACCCGAGGACCAU